rnacentral:rRNA from 1 species
UACGAAGGGGGCUAGCGUUGCUCGGAAUCACUGGGCGUAAAGCGCACGUAGGCGGAUUGUUAAGUCAGGGGUGAAAUCCUGGAGCUCAACUCCAGAACUGCCUUUGAUACUGGCGAUCUUGAGUCCGGGAGAGGUGAGUGGAACUCCGAGUGUAGAGGUGAAAUUCGUAGAUAUUCGGAAGAACACCAGUGGCGAAGGCGGCUCACUGGCCCGGUACUGACGCUGAGGUGCGAAAGCGUGGGGAGCA